UACGAAGGGGGCUAGCGUUGUUCGGAAUUACUGGGCGUAAAGGGCCAGUAGGCGGCCAACUAAGUCGGAUGUGAAAUCCCCAGGCUUAACCUGGGAACUGCAUCCGAUACUGGAUGGCUUGAAUUCGGGAGAGGGAUGCAGAAUUCCAGGUGUAGCGGUGAAAUGCGUAGAUAUCUGGAGGAAUACCGGUGGCGAAGGCGGCAUCCUGGACCGACAUUGACGCUGAACGGCGAAAGCUAGGGGAGCAAACGGG
rnacentral:rRNA from 1 species